GCUGGUUCUUGGGUGACACAUCCUGGAACCGGGCUCCCUCCACUCGGGUUCUGGGGUAUGUCACCCAAAGCUAUA
rfam:Myotis davidii contig218676, whole genome shotgun sequence.